UUAUCCCCCCUAAAAAGGGAGAACUGAAACUCUCCCUCUCCUUCUCAUUUCUCUCUUGCUCUUUCAUCUUUUCUCAUCAUCUCCACGUGAAGCUUGAGUCUUGGGCUUUGAUUUUGUUUGCAAAGUGUUCAUGGUGGUGCAAAGAAAGUCCUAGAACUGUAAGUCUCCCUCCCCAUCUCAUUUUUCUCUCUUCUCUUGGACAAAAGCUUGGCUAUAGAUAUGGGCUUUAACACCCAUUGAAGGGCAAAGCUUUUGGGUGGAAUUUGAGAGGAUAAAAUAGGUUUUUAGGGCUGUGAUUUUCGGAUUUCCAGCCCUCAUUCUUACACUCUUUCAUGUGUAAAUCAUAUGUGUGGCAUGGGCUUUUCUUCAAAUCAAGUCCUCCAUCAUUUGUGAGCUUUGGGUAACGAGUUUUGGGUGUUAGAACCUCCGAUUUACCGAUUAAUCCAAGCUAUACAUUGUGCAACCUUGGGUGAGGAUAAUCCCACAAAGCCGCAGAUCUUGCAAGAAAAUGGAGCUCCUUUGGAUGCAGGUAUUGAUGAUGCAGAGGAUGACUCCGUCGCACACUACGUGGAGUACUGCGACUAAGCUCGUCGCUUGAGUCGCAGGGGUAUCGGACUUGGAUAGUCCCCUUUUGUGUAUUUUGUAUAUGGCUAGCGUGACUUGUAACAUAUAGAUGUAGCCAUUCUUUUGUAUGCAUAACCUAUGCUUAAGCCUUAAACAGAUAGACAUUAAUUGGCUCUUUUGAGUAAUGAACA